CCUGUGAAAUAACAGGAUUAUAAAAUGUGCUUCAUUGUCAUGCAGCAUUUUAUUUUAAAUUUUGAAAGCAAAGAUGUGAGUUUAGCUUCAAGUUGUGCUUUUUCUUCUUAUUAAUCCCACGUUUACAUGUUAAGACCAAACUUUACCAACUGAGGCGGGAACCAACAUAACAACGACGUAUCUGCAAACAUGAAGCCCUACAAAAAUUUUAGAUUUAUUAUAACGAUAAUAUUUACCUCACUGAAAUGGCUUACUGCGACACGUGUUUUCCCAGAAUGCAACAGUUCUGUAUCUUAACUUCUUCCCACCCCUUUUUUGCUCCGGAAAGCGAAGACGGACAAAUGAGGCAAAACGCGAACAGUGAAGGUGAGGGUAUGUAAAAAUGUACACAGAUGCGUCCAGGGCCCGUUUCAAGAAGGAGGUUUUGUGGAAACUCUGAGUUUUUAACCCCGAAAUGAGGAAAACUCAGAGUUUUCGGUUUCAGAGUCAGUUACUAUGGCAACUGACUCUGUGAACCAAACCUGGUCGCGAGCAGGUUUUAUUCGGGAAACCCAGAGUUUCCUUCGGUCUCCGCCCCUUUUUAAAGUGAACACUGUUUAAAUACCUCAUUUAAUCUUUCAGUUCAUUCAUAGAUUUCACCUGUUUCCUUCGCGCAGAGACCAAAAUGUCCGUUUCUAGAGGAUCCUGUAGAUGAGGACGCUGUAUUAAUUCACACGGCAUUGAAUUUACGCCGCGAGAGGAUUUUAACGCCAUGAGUUAAUUUGCUGUCAUGUUCCCGUGCAUAUUUAUUUGAGCGGUACCGUCUUCUCCAUAUAUUAAUAAUCUUAUCCACACAUACGUCAAACACAUCAGCCAUCGUGGCCGUGCUUUUACAUCCGAGCACAUUCUUUGUGUUGCGUUACGUUUUUUUCCUAACGGUAGUUUUCUUUAUAACAUUGGAGACGCUGAGCACAUUAGUGAAGCCACUGUUUGUAGAAAAGUUCGACCUCAAGCGCUUUCACGACACAAACUCCCUAAAGCCAUUAAAGAGGAGUUUCACAGGAUUGCAGAUCAUAUGUGAUGCUGCACAUAUUAUUACAAACGUGGAGGCCAAGUGGCCCAGCUCUGGUCAUGACUCAUCAAUAUAUCGUGAUUCAACCCUAAGUAGCAGGCUGCACUGUGGUAAGUACAUGUAUGUCCUAUACACUCAUUUCAAUGCAUACACUCGUACUCACAGGAGCACUUCUAUGUAGCAAUAAAGUAAUGAGAACUUUCUUCUAGGAGAGAUUGACGGCUUUCUGCUGGAGAUAGGGGUUAAUGGCAGCCCACACUACUGACCCCUCACCCAGAACCUGAAGCAGAACCCCAGCAGCGCUUUAAUGUGGCCCUGCAGAACAAGAGCCCGGGUGGAAAUGACCAUAGGCCUGUUGAAAGCACGCCUUCAGUGCCUACGUCACCUCAGGGAAACACCUGAGAGGUCUUAUUAUUAUUAUUACUAUUACCUCAGGGAAACACCUGAGAGGCCUGUGAAAUUAUUGUGGCAUGUGUUGUUCUCCACAUUAUUGCAAUUAUUAGAGAGGAGCAACACCCUGCCCUACAAAUACAAGACCCUGAGGAGACUCCUUCCAUCACAGUAAUCUGCAGAGUGGAUGGACAGUCAGAGAUGUGAUUUGCUGUAAUGUCUUAAUCAGCCAUCACCACCACCAAUAAAAGAAACUGAAUAAAUGCAAAUCAUAA